rnacentral:rRNA from 1 species
UACGAAGGGGCUAGCGUUGCUCGGAAUCACUGGGCGUAAAGGGUGCGUAGGCGGGUCUUUAAGUUCAGGGGUGAAAUCCUGGAGCUCAACUCCAGACUGCUUGAUACUGAAGAUCUUGAGUUGGGAGAGGUGAGUGGAACUGCGAGUGUAGAGGUGAAAUUCGUAGAUAUUCGCAAGAACACCAGUGGCGAAGGCGGAGCUCACCUGGCCCGAGUACUGACGC